CCUACGGGUGGCAGCAGUGGGGAAUAUUGGACAAUGGGGGGAACCCUGAUCCAGCCAUGCCGCGUGUGUGAAGAAGGCCCUCGGGUUGUAAAGCACUUUCAGUGAGGAAGAACGCCUGGUGGUUAAUACCCAUCAGGAAAGACAUCACUCACAGAAGAAGCACCGGCUAACUCCGUGCCAGCAGCCGCGGUAAUACGGAGGGUGCGAGCGUUAAUCGGAAUUACUGGGCGUAAAGCGCGCGUAGGUGGCUUGAUAAGCCGGUUGUGAAAGCCCCGGGCUCAACCUGGGAACGGCAUCCGGAACUGUCAAGCUAGAGUGCAGGAGAGGAAGGUAGAAUUCCCGGUGUAGCGGUGAAAUGCGUAGAGAUCGGGAGGAAUACCAGUGGCGAAGGCGGCCUUCUGGACUGACACUGACACUGAGGUGCGAAAGCGUGGGUAGCAAACAGGCUUAGAUACCCGUGUAGUC
rnacentral:rRNA from 1 species